GACAGAGGUGCCGAGCGUUAGGCGGAAUCACUGGGCUUAAAGCGUGUGUAGGCGGACCCGUCAGUGUCUUGUGAAAUCCCCCGGCUCAACCGGGGAACGGCUGGGCAUACUGCGGGUCUUGAGGCACCUAGGGGCGAGCGGAACAGGCGGUGGAGCGGUGAAAUGCGUAGAUAUCGCCUGGAACGCCGACGGUGAAAACAGCUCGCUGGGGGUGUUCUGACGCUGAGACACGAAAGCCAGGGGAGCGGACGGG
rnacentral:rRNA from 1 species